AGAGUUGCCAGUAACGGACAUGGCUGCGGCCCCCGGAGGAGGGGACGUGAAGUGAGGAGGGGGUUGGGAGGGGAGAGGACGCGGGCGAGGAAGACCAGCCCCGGGGCCCCGAUGUUGUGACUGUGACAGACUCACUGGGGUUUGUACAUGCUGGGGAGGAGCCUUCCUUUCAGGGGCGACCACAUUCAUCUGGGCAUGCCUGCAGUACUCUUGGCCCAUGGACCUGAAGGAGAAGCACCUGAUGGUGCCUGGACAUGGCCCUGUCCCGACCAGUCACUGCCCUGGACAAUGAGCGGUUCACAGUGCAGUCGGUGAUGCUACACUAUGCUGUGCCCGUGGUCCUGGCCGGCUUCCUCAUCACCAAUGCCCUGCGCUUCAUCUUCAGUGCCCCGGGGGUCACUUCCUGGCAGUACACCCUCCUCCAGCUCCA
rnacentral:sRNA from 1 species